UCAAUGAUAACGCUGAAAGCAAGCAAGCUCUGGUUGACCACGGUGCAUCCGAAACUGAAGAAUCAUCUGGUUCCAAAUCACCCAAAGCCGAAAGCACCUCUAAGCCCGCAUCUUCUGGUGGUAUUACAGAAUUCGACUCUCACACUAUUUUGCUAAACUUGCCACAAGCAGAACUACGUCUUCUCUGCUCACUGCUCGCACGUGAAUGUUUUUCGGAUAAUGCGUAUGCACUUGUGGUAGAAGUAUUGAAGAAGUUGGUGACAUGCGCGCCACGUCACGAUAUAGUGCAUUAGUUGAGGUACUAGGUUUGACUUCUAAUAGUGGUAUUUUUCUAUCGUGUGAGCGCAGCCGCAGCGGCGCAGCGAGCCGGCGCAGCGAGGGCCGCUGGUGA